UAUUUCGAUAACCAUUUUAGCGCGCAGUCAAUGCAAAGAUCACUUCAUCUCCACUGGAAGUCGCAAUUUAUUGAAGCAUAAAUGCAAAAGGUUGUUCUCAUGAAACACUGGUUAUGGUUUUGCACUUUUUUCUGGAAAAACCGCAAGAUUUCCGAUUGUCACAAAGAAAGAAACGAUGAACUACGGGAAAAAUGCAUGCGUACAAGGCUCUGUGAGGCCACGGGCAAGAGGACAGAUUUGGAAUGCCGACUGUGUUUAUGGCUGCGGAAAA